GAUGAACGCUGGCGGCGUGCCUAAUACAUGCAAGUCGAGCGAACAGACGAGGAGCUUGCUCCUCUGACGUUAGCGGCGGACGGGUGAGUAACACGUGGAUAACCUACCUAUAAGACUGGGAUAACUUCGGGAAACCGGAGCUAAUACCGGAUAAUAUAUUGAACCGCAUGGUUCACUAGUGAAAGACGGUUUUGCUGUCACUUAUAGAUGGAUCCGCGCCGCAUUAGCUAGUUGGUAAGGUAACGGCUUACCAAGGCAACGAUGCGUAGCCGACCUGAGAGGGUGAUCGGCCACACUGGAACUGAGACACGGUCCAGACUCCUACGGGAGGCAGCAGUAGGGAAUCUUCCGCAAUGGGCGAAAGCCUGACGGAGCAACGCCGCGUGAGUGAUGAAGGUCUUCGGAUCGUAAAACUCUGUUAUUAGGGAAGAACAAAUGUGUAAGUAACUAUGCACGUCUUGACGGUACCUAAUCAGAAAGCCACGGCUAGCUACGUG
rnacentral:rRNA from 1 species